GGGGGCGAAUUGGCUUCGACCGGGCAAGUUGACGGAUAGGUGGCGUGCCGAGGUUGCUAGGAGGCCUCGUUAAACACCUGGCACACUUUUAUAUGCCAACUCACAGUUGAGCAUGGCUGCCUAAACAGGCUGCCCGUCGAACCGCUGACGCCUGCUGGGCGGGGAGACGUCACUUAGCAGGCUGGUCGAACGUGUGCCGCCCGGCCGCACAUCGACGAGACACCGCGGGGCUGGAUUCGCGUGGAGCCUGUCGGCCGGCGCCGCGCGAUUCGACAACAAACGACCGACUAUGCACGUAGAGGCCUAUCCUGAAGUGCUUCGGGACGUGGGUUCGAUUCCCACCGCCUCCA
rnacentral:tmRNA from 1 species